AGCAACCCAGAUGAGCAAAACUUAAAUAUACUUUAGCUUCUUUUGUAAAGCAAAGGAUAAUGUUAAACUGUUAGUCUCUCUUGGCUUUACAGAAAAGAUUUGCUGAGAUAUAUUACUCUAAAACUUUUAUGAAAAGCUAUCUUUCAAAUGUACAUGGGUACCAGUUACCGAAAGAUGAUAAACAGAAGACUAGUACAGAAAGAUUUAUCACCCACAAGCAUUGUGAAUGCACCUGGGAUUCAAAACUAAUUUUGACGAAAGCCCCAUGGCCUGUUAGAUCUGCUUCAUAUACAAGACAUAGAAGGCAGCGUGAUGCAUACAGUGCAUUUAUGGAUCGUGUGGAAGAAAAGUUUACAAAGAUAUGCAAGAGCAGAUAGCUGAUGGACCAAAACAGCAUAGGGCUUCCUGAACUCUGGCCUGAAUGUUCAUCUCCCGUGCAUUUCCCAGUGAGAACAUUGAUGAAUUCUGGCACCUUCCUGGAUUCUACAGAAAUCUGCACUCUCCCAGAGGCAUGAGAAAGUGCUAAAACAACAAAUGAAAGUUGCAUAAUUUGAAAUUCCCUUGUUACCACAGGGAUCAGAAUCCAAUC
rnacentral:lncRNA from 10 species